UCUCCGGUACGUCUGCAGUGUUUGUGCUCCCGUCAAGCAGUCCAUUAUUCUUAAUCCUUUGCAUUACUUAUUUUACACGAACUUGGAAAGAGAAUAUUUGUUAAAGUAACAAUUAUAUUCAAAGCCAAGCGUAAAAUACUUUAGAAGAAUUAACAGCCAUAUCUCAUCUUUUCAAAAUGUAUGUGUUUUUAUUUUCAUUUAUAAUUUUAACUUCUAGCUUGUGUAUACAAGUCAGUGCAAGCCCUCAUAGUCACAAACAUGGAGCGGAACGAGAAAUAGAUGGAGCGUAUAGUCCUAGGGAUCACUCACACUAUGAAGGAGAAGAUCACAAUGUGGAAUUUGAUCAUGAGGCUAUACUGGGUAGUACCAAGGAAGCAGAAGAAUUUGACCACUUGCCUCCAGAAGAAGCCAAGAAAAGACUGGCUGUACUGUUAACAAAAAUGGAUACAAAUAGUGACAAAGAAAUCACCACCACAGAACUGAAGCAAUGGAUUCUCAGGUCUUUCAAAUCACUCUCAGAAGAAGAGUCUCGAGAAAAGAUGAUGGAAGUUGACUUGGACAAGGAUAAUCAAGUGACAUGGAAUGAGUAUAAAGCUGAAACUUACGGAGUGGAUGAUGAAGUUGAAGAUGGACUAUUCUCUGGAAAAGAACAUGCUGAAGAAAAGGCACUGAUGAAAAAUGAUAAAGAACUCUUUCAAACAGCUGAUGUAAAUAAAGAUGGAACCCUCAGUGCUGAAGAAUUUUUGGCUUUUACUCACCCAGAAGAAGCACCUCACAUGCUUGAAGUCAUUCUAAGACAAACACUUGAAGAAAAAGAUGUCAACAAGGAUGGCUUUAUAGACUUUCAAGAGUACAUUGGUGAUCGAGAUUCAGAUGUCGAAGUAGCGAAGCAAAAAGAGAUGUUUGACACUGAGUUCGACACUAAUGGGGACGGCAGUUUAGACUCCAUUGAGUUUAAACGAUGGGUUGCCCCCAGUAACGAGGCAAUCAAAAGACAAGGCGUGGUUAAUAGCCGAGAAGGAAAAGUUUGACCACGAGCUGGACUCUGACGCGGAUGGGCGUUUGGGUGCUAGGGAAAUCAUCGGUUGGGUCUUACCGAGUACAGAAGAGAUAGCAGCAGAAGAGGUUGAUCACCUUUUUGCGUCAGCCGACGAUGAUCACGACGGUUUGUUAUCCUUCGAAGAAAUUCUCGAACAC
rnacentral:misc_RNA from 1 species